UCCCUUCUUCUCCCCCCUCUUCCUUCCUCCCCUCCCCCUUUCCUUUCUGUUGUUGAAUUUCCCCCCUGUUCCUGCGGUUUCCCUUUUCCCUUCCCCUCCUAACCUUGCUUCUCCACCGCUCCGGUGAGCCUCUUCGUGGCCCGCUUUUGUGCAGCUGGCGGCGAAUGGCUGGUUGGGGUAAAGAGUGGAAUCUUCAACUCUGAUGACAAAAUUGAGCCAUAGGAACUCAGAAAUCAGAAUCCCGAUUGGAUUUUACAGCAUCAAUCCCCCAAGAAUUCAAGAGUGAACUUUUGGAGCAACCUUCUGGGUCCAUUCUAACAAAAACCAAAAUAAUGACUCAUUAAAGGAAUGAUGCUGCAUUUGGAUGGGAACCUGGUGGGACCAAUGCAAGGAAUGAUCUCAAUUUUGAGUCUACUUCCUCAGAGACUUAGGUAAUGUAGGGGAGAAUAGAUGUUGAUCAUAUUAGAGUACAUGAAGAUAAAUUUGUUCUUGCUAUAUCUUUGAAAUAAAUGACCUUUUGUAAAUAAAAA